rnacentral:rRNA from 1 species
CCUACGGGCGGCAGCAGUGGGGGAUAUUGCACAAUGGGGGAAACCCUGAUGCAGCGACGCCGCGUGAGUGAAGAAGUAUUUCGGUAUGUAAAGCUCUAUCAGCAGGGAAGAAAAUGACAGUACCUGACCAAGAAGCCCCGGCUAACUACGUGCCAGCAGCCGCGGUAAUACGUAGGGGGCAAGCGUUAUCCGGAUUUACUGGGUGUAAAGGGAGCGUAGGCGGCAGUGCAAGUCUGGAGUGAAAGGCGGGGGCUCAACCCCCGGAGUGCUCUGGAAACUAGACGGUUGUAGUGCAGGAGAGGUAAGUGGAAUUCCUAGUGUAGCGGUGAAAUGCGUAGAUAUUAGGAGGAACACCAGUGGCGAAGGCGGCUUACUGGACUGUAACUGACGUUGAGGCUCGAAAGCGUGGGGAGCGAACAGGAUUAGAUACCCGAGUAGUC